GACGAACGCGGCGGCGUGCCUAAUACAUGCAAGUAGAACGCUGAAGAGAGGAGCUUGCUCUUCUGGAUGAGUUGCGAACGGGUGAGUAACGCGUAGGUAACCUGCCUUGUAGCGGGGGAUAACUAUUGGAAACGAUAGCUAAUACCGCAUAACAAUGGAUGACCCAUGUCAUUUAUUUGAAAGGGGCAAAUGCUCCACUACAAGAUGGACUUGCGUUGUAUUAGCUAGUAGGUGAGGUAACGGCUCACCUAGGCGACGAUACAUAGCCGACCUGAGAGGGUGAUCGGCCACACUGGGACUGAGACACGGCCCAGACUCCUACGGGAGGCAGCAGUAGGGAAUCUUCGGCAAUGGGGGCAACCCUGACCGAGCAACGCCGCGUGAGUGAAGAAGGUUUUCGGAUCGUAAAGCUCUGUUGUAAGUCAAGAACGAGUGUGAGAGUGGAAAGUUCACACUGUGACGGUAGCUUACCAGAAAGGGACGGCUAACUACGUGCCAGCAGCCGCGGUAAUACGUAGGUCCCGAGCGUUGUCCGGAUUUAUUGGGCGUAAAGCGAGCGCAGGCGGUUUGAUAAGUCUGAAGUUAAAGGCUGUGGCUCAACCAUAGUUCGCUUUGGAAACUGUCAAACUUGAGUGCAGAAGGGGAGAGUGGAAUUCCAUGUGUAGCGGUGAAAUGCGUAGAUAUAUGGAGGAACACCGGUGGCGAAGGCGGCUCUCUGGUCUGUAACUGACGCUGAGGCUCGAAAGCGUGGGGAGCGAACAGG
rnacentral:rRNA from 1 species